AAAUUGGAUACAAUUAACUUAGGCUUGAAUAGAGACUGGAAGUGGCUAACUCAUUAUGCAAGCUUUGUCUCCAGCUGCCGCAGAUUCUCCUGGUAGCUGCGGUCCUGGUCCUCCAGCUUCUGCUGCAGCUCAGCCUCCUUCUGCUUCAGGACCUCCUGCUCCCGCUCAGCCGCCUCGGCCCGGGCUCGCUCGGCUGGGACAGGGAGAGAGAGCUCCAGCAGGGUGGCCGUGCAGCGGUCCGAGGAUGCCAGCUCAUUGCGCCGGCAGAGCUCCUGCUUCUGCUCCUCCAGGCGGCGCUGCCAGAUACACCUGGGGAACGCCCACCGGACAAGACGUUUUCAGUCUAGACAGUGGGUGGGGAAGGGCCUAUUCAGGGCAAUGGGCCACUAGGAAAAAACAACAGGCCUUAGGAGAAGUUUAUCUCCCACCUGGGGAGCCUUCCUGAGAACCCUACACACAGCCUCCAAAUACUGACUGCUGUGACUCUCCAAGGACCUGUGACAAGACCACAUGAUGCUGGUCUCCAUCUUGGGAUGUCAGGGUUUUCCCACAGACUGGUCUGAGAAUCAUGUUUUGGAACAAAGGGCUCCCGCCAGAUGUAAAAGCUACAUAAGGCAGGGAGUGGCGUCAUCUGGGGUUCUUCACUCCCCACCCAAAGAGACUCCUGGAAACACCUGAGGAGCAAAGACUGAACUGGGGGAAGUGCUGGGCCCAGGCUGAAGGGGUUUCUGGCCUGGGGAUGGAGCACCUGGGGAUUCCAAGCUGUCAGCAAGUGCAGCUUGUCACUUAAGGAUCUGCAGCCGGCUUGUAUCAUCCCUUAGGGUGAGAGUCUGCGAAUUCAGAUCCAAUCUCUUUAGUGUAUUAACUUAGUUUGCGGUUUUGUUUAUUUGCUAGGUAAUCUGCUUUGAUCUGUUUGCUUUCACUUAUAAUCACUUAAAAUCGACCUUUUGUAGUUAAUAAACUUGUUUUUGCUUUAUCUAAA